UACGUAGGGUGCAAGCGUUAAUCGGAAUUACUGGGCGUAAAGCGUGCGCAGGCGGUUUUGUAAGUCUGUCGUGAAAUCCCCGGGCUCAACCUGGGAAUGGCAUUUGGGACUGCAAGGCUUGAGUGCGGCAGAGGAGACUGGAAUUCCUGGUGUAGCAGUGAAAUGCGUAGAUAUCAGGAGGAAUACCGAUGGCGAAGGCAGGUCUCUGGGCUGACACUGACGCUCA
rnacentral:rRNA from 1 species